CGGCAGCGACAACACGGACACGGAGGGCAGCUAGAGCUGGGCCGAACGUCCCGUUACCGGCCCCGUCAAUAAACACUGAGCGCUCACAGCGGUGCCGUUACCGUCGGGAUGGGGGAGGCGGCCUAUGUGGGGCCGACCGCGCAGCCUCAGCGCCGCCUCUUGUGCGCCUGCGCGGCCGCCAUGUUGAGGCGCUUGGUGCGGGUGGCAGCGCGGGCCGCGCUCGGCUCCUCAGCGCCUCCACAGCGGCGGCCAUUGCCCCGCAGUGUGUGCACCGCACCGCCGGGCAGCGUGGGGCGGCUGCAGCCAUCGCAUUACCGCCUGGUGUACACCUGCAAGGUGUGCCGGCGCCGCUCGGCUCAGAACAUCUCCCGCUUGGCCUACAGCCGAGGAGUCGUCAUCGUUACGUGCCCAGGGUGUCACAACCAUCAUAUAAUCGCUGAUAACCUGGGCUGGUUCUCCGACCUGCAGGGCAAGAGGAAUAUCGAGGAGAUCCUGGCAGCCAAAGGGGAGAAGGUGAGACGUGUGCUUGGUGAGGAAGCCCUGGAGCUGCUCCCAGAAGGUGUGACGGAUGCUGACCCUCAGAGCCGUCCUACAGAGGGAGAAAGUGGGGACCCUCCAGAGACUGACAACAAGGGACGAACCUGACAGUGGGAUUGGUGUCAUUCUGAUGCCAAGAGAGACUUUCAUGUUUCUUGAUCUCAAUGGACCGUGCUUGGAAUAAAAGCAGGUGUGGCACUAACUGGAGGCUCUGGCAGUGUCCUCUGGCCUUGUCCAGGUGUUGCCCAUCAGCAGCUGAUUGCAGUGCUCCAGGAGGUGCAUAGGGUGGCAGCUGAACAGAAGAGUCAUUUGGGACCACCAAAGGACAUGGCCCUGACCACAGGGGAGGUGUAUCUUUCUGGAACAAAGGGAAGAAGCCUGUUGGAGCUGCUGGAGCUGCGGUGUGAUGGGGACCCAUGAUGCCUGAGCCUGGAGCAGCAGAGCAUGGUGUGUGGCUGAUAGCUCUGUGCAUGUCCCUGGGCUGUGAUCUUCAGUGCUGCUGAAUACUGAGCUCGUUGCUGCAGAACCAUGCAGGAGUUAACCCAUGGAUCUGUCCUGGCCUAGCAGCAGUCAGGAAUCCUCUGUGGAGAACCUCUGAAAGCUGCUGCUGGCUCCAGUCUGGAAUUUACAGUGCUGGGAUGCUCAGAGCCAGCAGCCCCCUCCCCCAUGGGCUGUGUGCCCUUCCAGCCCGAUGGAGAUCAUGGCUGAGGCAGGAGCACGAGGCUCAGGAGAGGGUUGAGGUAUGAGCUAGGUGGGGAUAUACGUGGCUGUGCACAUCCUCCUGCUUGAUCUCCAGCUCUCUGACCUGGCCCAGGAAGGAGGCAGAGGUUCAGCCCAGUGCUCUGUGCAGCAGGUGAGUGUUCCCUGUUGGCAACCAAAAUGCAGCUACCCCUCCCAUGGUCAAUACAGGCAGGUUCAAUGCCUGGUGAGCAGCGGCACUGGUCUGAAGAAUCUUAACGCUGGUUGGAAAUGUUUCUAUCAAAUGCAUUUCGAUUAGAAAGUGCUGAUUUGUUCCCUGUAGGAAACACAUCUGCUUUGGCAGAACUCAAUACUGGAGUUUCUGAAGUCCAGGAUCACCUCUCUGGUCAAGCAUUCCACCUCCUGCAGUUUGAUCUCUGCUGCCCUCUUCUCUGAGCUUGCAUUUCCAACUUUACCAAAAGGAAUGAAAAUAAACUUAGACCCUUACAUUUGUGUGCAGGGUGAAACUGACUUCCCAGUAACAAUUCCAGCCCGGAGCUGUCACCAAGGCUCCAUUUCUUACUGGUGUGGGACCAGACAGUGUGCAGAAUAAAGACUGCUGUGCUGAGAGCAGCUCUGCUGGGGCACUGAGCAGCACAGCACUGGUUUCUUUCAGGUGAAACAAGGGGAGAGAAGUGCUAUUGUCCUCCACUGGUGGAUGCAGGGAAUAGUUCUGCUUGCUUUCAUGACAAGCCAUGGCCAGAAAACUUUGCUGGCUCACAGAACAGGUCAGUGCCGGAUGCAGGUUUCUGCCUUAAGCAUGCUGGACAGUCCCAUGUGAAUCUUCUGGCUCAGCUGUACCAGAAACAAUUAGUUCAGCUAAGUUUGAUUUCUGUGCUGAAUAGAUGGGCCUUUCUUCCUUCUUUCCAAGGUACCAGCUCUUCUGUCUUGUGGCUGCAGUGCAGGCUGCAUAGCUGGCACUUACCUUUCAGGCUUUGUCCCAUGCUUGCUCUGUGGAGGUCUCCAGAUCCCACUAAGGGUUAAACUGGAAGAGCUCCAUCUCUUGCUUUGGAGCUUCUGGCACAACUCUGUACAGAAGCAGCUGAGGAAGCAGAAGGGACAAGCAUAAAGCUCUCACUGCAGAGUUCAUUGCACCCCAGAACAAACUUCAGAGGGUGGGGGACCAUGGCUGCAGCCAGGGGGAGGGGGUGAGCUUUAAAAGGUCUUGUGUAGCUUCUGAUUUGGGCUCAUUUCCAUCUGCAGAAAGAACAACACCGAUGAAGAUGUUCCAGGAAAGGAUCCAGAACAAUUUGUGUCAUCUCAUGACGCAGAUGUGAUUGCAAAAUGGAAAAGGUCCUCUUCCCUAUUAAAAGUAUUUCAGAAAUAAAGAAGAUUGAGGCUGCAUUUAA